rnacentral:lncRNA from 1 species
ACCAGACUCAAGCUAGCGACCAAUUCUAGCGACCAAUCAAGCUAGCGACCAAUUCUAUCGACCACUUAAGUUAACACUGAGCAUAAACACAUAACAGAACCAUUUCGAGAUAUGUCUGAAAAUCACAAAAUGACAUUAUACUACAACGUUCUACUAAUAUUUAAUACAUGAGGUAUCGCUAUUGAUAGAAAAAAUACAUACUAAAUAUACUUUGAAAAGGAAACAUUGCAAAGGAAACACCUAUUAAUUUUGUUUCAAUUUUAUUUUGGAUUCCAACAAAAAAACAUGAGUAGCGUGCUUGCUUGCUGGAGGCUAAUAUUCUAAAUCAGUUAUUCAGUUUUUGAAGACUUUAUAUUACAUGGUAUUAUACAUUUAUUUCAAAUCGAGAUUUUUGUUUUAACUAGAUAUACUGUUUCCAGAUUAGAUAUUUAAAAAGAAAAACCUUUAUGGUCCAAAUACCUCAUAUGGUCCAGCCCGUUGAUAAUAAAACGAAUAUAAUACUAAUAUGGUCCAAUCAUACGCGUACGGUCAGACCAUAUGAGUAUACGCAUAUGGUCAUGACCGCACGCAUAUGGUCCAAAUAUUGAUAUGGUUCGGAACAUAUUCGUAAGUAUUGUAAAACAGAAUAAAAAAAAUUAAGUACAGCCGUUCAAAUGUCAACUUACGGUGAGAUAAAUAAAAUGUUUAAGUGAACAAGGAACUAGAAAAAUAUCGAGUAUUUCCUGAAAACCAUUUAGGUUUGAGGGGAGUGGUUCUCGAAACAGUAUAAUGGGUAUAGUCCAAGGCACUUCAGAUAAUACUGAAAGCAGUAAAACAAAUAAAAAUAUAAUAAGAAAGAAAAAAAGAAAAUUUAUUCAAUGCAACAUUCAUCAUCAAGUCAAAACAUUUAAACUACGUUCAGCCAGAUGCAUUUUUUAAAAAUCUUUAAUAUUUAUAUACAACAGAUUUAUUACAUAUUACUCAAAAAUAUCACAAG